rnacentral:tRNA from 1 species
GCCUGGGUGGCUCAGUCGGUUGAGCGACUAACUUCAGCUCAGGUCAUGAUCUCACAGUUCGUGGGUUCAAGUCCCGUGUCGGGCU